rnacentral:pre_miRNA from 1 species
GACCUAGAGAUUCCUAAAAAUAUGCUCUCUCAGGUAAAAACAAUAGUAAUUGUUUUUACCUGAGAGAGCAUAUUUUUUAGGAAUCUCUAGGU